GAUGAACGCUAGCGGCAGGCUUAAUACAUGCAAGUCGAACGGUGACAUGAGUAGCAAUACUUGAUGACGAGUGGCGCACGGGUGCGUAACGCGUAUGCAAUCUACCUUCAACUGGUGAAUAGCCCGAAGAAAUUCGGAUUAAUACACCAUAGUAUAUUAGAGUGGCAUCACUUUAAUAUUAAAACUCCGGUGGUUGAAGAUGAGCAUGCGUGACAUUAGCUAGUUGGUGAGGUAAUGGCUCACCAAGGCUACGAUGUCUAGGGGAUCUGAGAGGAUUAACCCCA
rnacentral:rRNA from 1 species